rnacentral:rRNA from 1 species
GAUGAACGCUGGCGGCGUGCCUAAUACAUGCAAGUCGAGCGAACAGACGAGGAGCUUGCUCCUUUGACGUUAGCGGCGGACGGGUGAGUAACACGUAGGUAACCUACCUAUAAGACUGGGAUAACUUCGGGAAACCGGAGCUAAUACCGGAUAAUAUUUCGAACCGCAUGGUUCGAUAGUGAAAGAUGGCUUUGCUAUCACUUAUAGAUGGACCUGCGCCGUAUUAGCUAGUUGGUAAGGUAACGGCUUACCAAGGCAACGAUACGUAGCCGACCUGAGAGGGGGAUCGGCCACACUGGAACUGAGACACGGUCCAGACGCCUACGGGAGGCAGCAGUAGGGAAUCUUCCGCAAUGGGCGAAAGCCUGACGGAGCAACGCCGCGUGUGUGAUGAAGGUCUUCGGAUCGUAAAACUCUGUUAUUAGGGAAGAACAAACGUGUAAGUAACGGUGCACGUCUUGACGGUACCUAAUCAGAAAGCCACGGCUAACUACGU